AUAAUACUCCCUCCGUCCGAAAUUACUUGUCAUCAAAAUGGAUGUGUCUAGAACUAAAAUACAUCUAGAUGCAUCCAUUUCAAUGACAAGUAUUUUCGGACGGAGGGAGUAGUAG
rnacentral:pre_miRNA from 1 species